GACGAACGCUGGCGGCGUGCUUAACACAUGCAAGUCGAACGCUGAAGCUCAGCUUGCUGGGUGGCUGAGUGGCGAACGGGUGAGUAACACGUGAGUAACCUGCCCCCUUCUUUGGGAUAACGCCCGGAAACGGGUGCUAAUACUGGAUAUUCACUGAUCUUCGCAUGGGGGUUGGUGGAAAGGUUUUUUCUGGUGGGGGAUGGGCUCGCGGCCUGUCAGCUGGUGGGGGGGGUGAGGGCCUCCCAAGGCUUGGACGGGUGGCCGGCCUGGGAGGGGGCCCGGGCACAGGGGGACUGGGAUGCGGCCCAGAGUACGACGGGGGGCAGCAGUGGGGAAUAUGGCACGAUGGGCGAAAGCCUGAUGCGGCGACGCCGCGUGAGGGAUGGAGGCCUUCGGGUUGUAAACCUCUUUCGCUCAUGGUCAAGCCGCAACAGUGGUUGUGGUGAGGGUAGUGGGUAAAGAAGCGCCGGCUAACUACGUG
rnacentral:rRNA from 1 species